UACGAAGGGGGCUAGCGUUGUUCGGAAUUACUGGGCGUAAAGGGCGCGUAGGCGGUCUUGUAAGUCAGAUGUGAAAGCCCCGGGCUCAACCCGGGAAUAGCAUUUGAUACUGCGAGGCUUGAGUCCGGGAGAGGAUGGCGGAAUUCCCAGUGUAGAGGUGAAAUUCGUAGAGAUUGGGAAGAACACCGGUGGCGAAGGCGGCCAUCUGGACCGGUACUGACGAUGAGGCGCGAAAGAGUGGGGAGCAAACAGG
rnacentral:rRNA from 1 species